rnacentral:rRNA from 1 species
ACAAACGCUGGCGGCGUGCCUAAUACAUGCAAGUCGAGCGACGAAAGCCUUCGGGUGAGUAAGAGCGGCGCACGGGCGAGGAACACGUAGAUAAUCUGCCCUCUAGUGGGGAAUAACUCUCCGAAAGGAGAGCUAAUACCGCAUAAGACCACAAGCUCUGCGGAGCAAGGGGUUAAAGGAGCAAUUCGCUAAAGGAUGAGUCUGCGUCCGAUUAGCUAGUUGGUGAGGUAAAGGCUUACCAAGGCAAUGAUCGGUAAGAUGGUCUGAGAGGAUGAUCAUCCGCACUGGAACUGAGACACGGUCCAGACUCCUACGGGAGGCAGCAGUAGGGAAUAUUGCACAAUGGGGGAAACCCUGAUGCAGCAACGCCGCGUGAAGUGAUGAAGGCCUUCGGGUCGUAAAGCCUCUGUCGUGUGGGAAGAAACAAAUGACGGUACCACACAAGAAAGGACCGGCCAACUUCGUGCCAGCAGCCGCGGUAAUACGGGGGGGGUCCAAGCGUUGUUCGGAAUCACUGGGCGUAAAGCGCAUGUAGGUGGCUUUUCAAGUCAACUGUGAAAGCCCAGGGCCCUAACCCUGGAAGUGCAGUUGAUUACUGUUGAGCUUGAGUACGAGAGAGGAUAGUGGAAUUCCUGGUGUAGUGGUGAAAUACGUAGAUAUCAGGAGGAACAUCGGUGGCGAAGGCGGCUAUCUGGCUCGAUACUGACACUGAGAUGCGAAAGCGGUGGGGAUCAAACAGGAUUAGAUACCCUGGUAGUCCACGCCGUAAACGAUGGAUACUUGUUGUUAGAGGUAUUGACCCCUUUAGUGACGAAGCUAACGCGUUAAGUAUCCCGCCUGGGGAGUACGGUCGCAAGAUUAAACUCAAAGAAAUUGACGGGGGCCCGCACAAGCGGUGGAGCAUGUGGUUCAAUUCGAUGCAACGCGAAAAACCUUACCUAGAUUUGACAUACUGUGGAAGAUUCCUGGAAACAGGGUCGCCUUCGGGCGCGCCAGUACAGGUGCUGCAUGGCUGUCGUCAAGCUCGUGUCGUGAGAUGUUGGGUUAAGUCCCGCAACGAGCGCAACCCCUGUCUUUAGUUGCCAGCAUUUAGUUGGGCACUCUAAAGAGACUGCCGACGUUAAGUCGGAGGAAGGUGGGGAUGACGUCAAGUCCUCAUGGCCUUUAUAUCUAGGGCUACACACGUGCUACAAUGGUUGCUACAAAGGGCUGCAAAACAGUGAUGUCGAGCAAAUCCCAAAAAGGCAAUCUAAGUUCGGAUUGGAGUCUGCAACUCGACUCCAUGAAGCUGGAAAUCGCUAGUAAUCGUGGAUCAGCACGCCACGGUGAAUACGUUCCCGGGCCUUGUACACACCGCCCGUCACACCAUGAAAGCUGGUUUUACCAGAAGUCGCUGCGCUAACCGCAAGGAGGCAGGCGCCCAAGGUAUGAUUAGUGAUUGGGGUG